GAUGAACGCUGGCGGCGUGCCUAAUACAUGCAAGUCGAGCGAACAGACGAGGAGCUUGCUCCUCUGACGUUAGCGGCGGACGGGUGAGUAACACGUGGAUAACCUACCUAUAAGACUGGGAUAACUUCGGGAAACCGGAGCUAAUACCGGAUAAUUUAUUGAACCGCAUGGUUCAAUAGUGAAAGACGGUUUUGCUGUCACUUAUAGAUGGAUCCGCGCCGCAUUAGCUAGUUGGUAAGGUAACGGCUUACCAAGGCAACGAUGCGUAGCCGACCUGAGAGGGUGAUCGGCCACACUGGAACUGAGACACGGUCCAGACUCCUACGGGAGGCAGCAGUAGGGAAUCUUCCGCAAUGGGCGAAAGCCUGACGGAGCAACGCCGCGUGAGUGAUGAAGGUCUUCGGAUCGUAAAACUCUGUUAUUAGGGAAGAACAAAUGUGUAAGUAACUAUGCACGUCUUGACGGUACCUAAUCAGAAAGCCACGGCUAACUACGU
rnacentral:rRNA from 1 species